CAAAAGUCCAGUGCAAUCGUUCGGAUUGAUUAUACAUAUUUUAUUAUUUAUAAUAUGUGUACUUAUUUUGCAACUUAAUCUGCUUUUGUUUAGUGGUGUAUAGCUAAACCUGCUCUAACAUUUUGUUUUGUUUUAGGGAGAAGGAGAGGAAGGCAGAAGAGAGGAGUGUAGGGAGAGGAUGGACAGACUCUUCUCUCUGCUGGAGAAACUUGUUGUCAAAUGAAAUGUCGGGUCUUUUUGUUGAGAUUUGGAAGAUUCUGGAUUUGUCUGCAAAGCGACCCCUUGUCCUUGCUGAGGUGCUGUGGCCGAUUGCAGUCUGGCGAGCCACCCAUUGAGUGACCUGAACAGAGAAAGAGACUUAUUUUACACCUAUCUACGACAGCGGUAGGACAGUUAAUUUUGUUUUCUUCAGACUGAAUGCUUCUGGAUUGAACUGAUUGAACAGAUUUGACUGAAUACCAUUAGUUCUAAAUGACAGUGAUUAUUUGAUUGUAUUUAUACUGAGUUUGAUGUUGAAGAGUUCUAAUUGUUAUAGAAAUAUUUUUAUGCAUUUUGAUAAGUUUUCUUUCAUUUUAAGAGUCUGAAAUAAGACAUUGAGUUUAAAGAAACAAGUCCUGGUUUCUAAAAUUAGACCCAUAGCUUAAUUACUAAUAAUUGCAUAAAACCACUAUCUUAAAAUGAUUAGGGAUUACUAGACAUAAAUAAUAAUAAUAACACUAAAAUAUAGGAAUGAGAUAUUAAUCAAAUAAAUAGGUAAAAGUAAAUGAAACCAGGAUACUCUUAAAUAGCAUAAUUAUUAUAUGGUAACAACUGUGAACAACUGUGACAAAAGCGAAUAAGUAUUUGUGUUUACAUUUGAACGUACCUGCGGUGUGUUUUGUUCACCAUUUCUGCACAAUAUCCAUUUUCUCCUGAGAGACCUAGAUUUUCUCAUGCACUGGUCCAUGAUUGAUUGAUAUAAUUCUGUACUCGGUACUAGUGUUAGUUACAUCUGUGAAACCCCCCCCCAAUACUAUUAGACAUCACUUUUAUAAAAGCAACGCUCGAUCUAAAAGCAUUAAUUUUGAUAUGAAAUA
rnacentral:lncRNA from 1 species